AUACGAGGGGUGCAAGCGUUAAUCGGAAUUACUGGGCGUAAAGCGUUCGUAGGCGGUUUGUUAAGCAAGAUGUGAAAGCCCUGGGCUCAACCUGGGAACUGCAUUUUGAACUGGCAAGCUAGAAUACUGUAGAGGGUGGUGGAAUUUCCAGUGUAGCGGUGAAAUGCGUAGAGAUUAGAAGGAACAUCAGUGGCGAAGGCGGCCACCUGGACAGAUAUUGACGCUGAGGAACGAAAGCGUGGGGAGCGAACAGGAUUAGAAACCCCGGUAGUCC
rnacentral:rRNA from 1 species